rnacentral:rRNA from 1 species
AGAUAUCACGAAGAACUNCGAUUGCGAAGGCAGCUUGCUGGACUGUAACUGACGCUGAGGCACGAAAGCGUGGGGAUCAAACAGGAUUAGAUACCCUGGUANNNACGCCGUAAACGAUGANUGCUAGCUGUUAGCGAUAUACUGUUAGCGGCACAGAGAAAUCGUUAAGCAUUCCACCUGGGGAGUACGCCGGCAACGGUGAAACUCAAAGGAAUUGACGGGGGCCCGCACAAGCGGAGGAACAUGUGGUUUAAUUCGAUGAUACGCGAGGAACCUUACCUGGGCUUAAAUUGCAGUGGAAUAACGUGGAAACAUGUUAGCCUUCGGGCCGCUGUGAAGGUGCUGCAUGGUUGUCGUCAGCUCGUGCCGUGAGGUGUCGGCUUAAGUGCCAUAACGAGCGCAACCCUCAUCGAUAGUUACUAACAGGUUAAGCUGAGGACUCUAUCGAGACUGCCGACGUAAGUCGUGAGGAAGGUGGGGAUGACGUCAAAUCAGCACGGCCCUUACGUCCAGGGCUACACACGUGUUACAAUGGGGGGUACAAAGGGCAGCUACCUGGCGACAGGAUGCUAAUCUCAAAAACCUCUCUCAGUUCGGAUUGGAGUCUGCAACCCGACUCCAUGAAGCUGGAUUCGCUAGUAAUCGCGCAUCAGCCACGGCGCGGUGAAUACGUUCCCGGGCCUUGUACACACCGCCCGUCAAGCCAUGGGAGCCGGGGGGACCUGAAGUAUGCAACCGUAAGGAGCGUCCUAGGGUAAAACUGGUGACUGGGGCU